UCUGGUGAUCGUAUCGUCUCGGAAACACCUGAAACCAUUCCGAACUCAGAAGUGAAACGAGAUAGAGCCGAAGAUACUUCCUCUUUUGAUGAGGUGGGAAAAUAGGUAAUUGCCAGAU
rnacentral:rRNA from 1 species